CAGUAGCUCAGUUGGUUAGAGCGCUGCCCUGUCACGGCAGAGGUCAAGGGUUCGAGUCCCUCCUGG
rnacentral:tRNA from 1 species